rnacentral:rRNA from 1 species
AGAGUUUGAUCCUGGCUCAGGACGAACGCUGGCGGCGUGCCUAAUACAUGCAAGUCGAACGAAGCUUUCUUUCACCGAAUGCUUGCAUUCACCGAAAGAAGCUUAGUGGCGAACGGGUGAGUAACACGUAGGCAACCUGCCCAAAAGAGGGGGAUAACACUUGGAAACAGGUGCUAAUACCGCAUAACCAUGAACACCGCAUGAUGUUCAUGUAAAAGACGGCUUUUGCUGUCACUUUUGGAUGGGCCUGCGGCGUAUUAACUUGUUGGUGGGGUAACGGCCUACCAAGGUGAUGAUACGUAGCCGAACUGAGAGGUUGAUCGGCCACAUUGGGACUGAGACACGGCCCAAACUCCUACGGGAGGCAGCAGUAGGGAAUCUUCCACAAUGGACGAAAGUCUGAUGGAGCAACGCCGCGUGAAUGAAGAAGGCCUUCGGGUCGUAAAAUUCUGUUGUCAGAGAAGAACGUGCGUGAGAGUAACUGUUCACGUAUUGACGGUAUCUGACCAGAAAGCCACGGCUAACUACGUGCCAGCAGCCGCGGUAAUACGUAGGUGGCGAGCGUUGUCCGGAUUUAUUGGGCGUAAAGGGAACGCAGGCGGUCUUUUAAGUCUGAUGUGAAAGCCUUCGGCUUAACCGAAGUAGUGCAUUGGAAACUGGAAGACUUGAGUGCAGAAGAGGAGAGUGGAACUCCAUGUGUAGCGGUGAAAUGCGUAGAUAUAUGGAAGAACACCAGUGGCGAAAGCGGCUCUCUGGUCUGUAACUGACGCUGAGGUUCGAAAGCGUGGGUAGCAAACAGGAUUAGAUACCCUGGUAGUCCACGCCGUAAACGAUGAGUGCUAAGUGUUGGAGGGUUUCCGCCCUUCAGUGCUGCAGCUAACGCAUUAAGCACUCCGCCUGGGGAGUACGGUCGCAAGACUGAAACUCAAAGGAAUUGACG